UACGUAGGGGGCAAGCGUUAUCCGGAUUCACUGGGUGUAAAGGGAGCGUAGACGGCGACGCAAGUCUGGAGUGAAAGCCCGGGGCCCAACCCCGGGACUGCUCUGGAAACUGCGUCGCUGGAGUACGGGAGGGGCAGGCGGAAUUCCUGGUGUAGCGGUGAAAUGCGUAGAUAUCAGGAGGAACGCCGGCGGCGAAGGCGGCCUGCUGGACCGUGACUGACGUUGAGGCUCGAGAGCGUGGGGAGCAAACAGG
rnacentral:rRNA from 1 species